rnacentral:rRNA from 1 species
UACGAAGGGGGCUAGCGUUGCUCGGAAUUACUGGGCGUAAAGGGCGCGUAGGCGGAUAGUUUAGUCAGAGGUAAAAGCCCAGGGCUCAACCUUGGAACUGCCUUUGAUACAGCACGUCUUGAGUCCGAUAGAGGUGGGUGGAAUUCCUAGUGUAGAGGUGAAAUUCGUAGAUAUUAGGAAGAACACCGGUGGCGAAGGCGGCCCACUGGAUCGGUACUGACGCUGAGGUGCGAAAGCGUGGGGAGCAAACAGG